CGGAGGGAUCAUUACCGAGUUAUACAACUCAUCAACCCUGUGAACAUACCUAUAACGUUGCCUCGGCGGGAACAGACGGCCCCGUAACACGGGCCGCCCCCGCCAGAGGACCCCCUAACUCUGUUUCUAUAAUGUUUCUUCUGAGUAAACAAGCAAAUAAAUUAAAACUUUCAACAACGGAUCUCUUGGCUCUGGCAUCGAUGAAGAACGCAGCGAAAUGCGAUAAGUAAUGUGAAUUGCAGAAUUCAGUGAAUCAUCGAAUCUUUGAACGCACAUUGCGCCCGCCAGUAUUCUGGCGGGCAUGCCUGUUCGAGCGUCAUUACAACCCUCAGGCCCCCGGGCCUGGCGUUGGGGAUCGGCGGAAGCCCCCUGCGGGCACAACGCCGUCCCCCAAAUACAGUGGCGGUCCCGCCGCAGCUUCCAUUGCGUAGUAGCUAACACCUCGCAACUGGAGAGCGGCGCGGCCACGCCGUAAAACACCCAACUUCUGAAUGUUGACCUCGAAUCAGGUAGGAAGUACCCGCUGAACUUAAGCAUAUCAAUAAGCGGAGGAA
rnacentral:rRNA from 1 species